rnacentral:ncRNA from 1 species
UAACCGUAAUCGAGAGGUUACGCUGAAUUCACAGGAGUCAGCAGAGGCCAUAGUACGGGAGUACAGGACGCUGGAAACCGGAAGGGC